rnacentral:lncRNA from 1 species
CUACAUGGAACCUUUUAAAUCAUUCAAUGCCAGGUCCAUAAAGACCUCUGUGAUUAACAAAUCAAACCCCUUUCUUUUCAGUCAAGGCACCUGAGACUGAGAGGUAAAGUGACUGUCCUAAGGUUACCAAGCUUGGGCAAGACCAAGGUGAUACUGCCACCAUCUGUUCAUUCUCCUGCCACCUUUUCAACUGGGGUUUAUCCCAACCUCCUCAUUUCACAGAGAAAAACAGAACCAGUGUGAACAGAAACAAUUCACUUGGGAAGAGUGAGCCGAGGCUCUUUUAUCAGUGUAGGUGGUUGAACUUCGGUAGCCACAGGGGACCUGACUUUGAGGACACAAAACACAGGAUCCUUCGUGGUUCACAGUGGUGGUGUUAGGGAGAGGCAGUGAGCCUUGCAUCAUAGGUAGAACACGAUGCAGCUGCAGGUGCAGAGAGUUAUCAGGGAGAGAAGGGCCCAGAAGACUGGGAAAAUGAUAGUGGUGUCAAACAGGAAAAUUACACUGAAAUUACACCAUGUCUUUUUACAUUUUCCUCAGUCUCCGUCUGAGCCACAAGUGCACUGCAGUCAUUUCAGAGAUACAGAAGCUUAUCUUGCUUUUUGAAAAGUUUUUCUUAAUAUUUGUCCUAGGGUCCACAGGAAAUGAAAAACCCAAGGCAUCCCUCGCCCUCUCCCCGCAAGUCACCUGCUAUGAAUACCUGCAUUCAUUCUACAAAGCCUUUAUCAGUCCCUGGAAUGCCACGUAUUUAUUAGCUGUCUCCACACAUUAAGAAUAAGAUGUAUAGAGCAGGAACCUGUCAUUCUUCUCCAUCCUGUCUUCCCAGUGCCUGCCUCAGUGCCUGACACAUAGCAGGUGCUCCAAAGGAAUAAAUAAAUUAGGAAAUCCUACCACCUGCUUCUAGCAUGUAAUAUCUACUACCCUGGAGUGGAAUGAAAGGGUUAUUAAAAUACCCAAUGACAGCCUCAGGUCUUUCCUUCUAGUGUGGAAACUACAGCAAGAACCAACACAAAUUAAAGUGUCUAAAAAAAUCAAUUGGGGCAGGCAUCUUCUUCUGAACUACAUUUACUAGAGCCUGCCACCCACAGAUGUCAAAGGAAUUCACAGGAUUAAAAGAAAAGGCUGGAGGUGAGAAAGUUAAUAACUACUCUUGUGACAUCUAGGGCUGGGCUACAAGUGGUCAGCACAUGGACCUCUCCAUAUAUGUUGUCAGAUGUCAAGGAGUGGCUUUACAGAUAGACAGCCUUGGACCCCAAUGCUAAAUCUUCCACUUAUUAGCACUGUGAUCAUGGGCAAGUUAUUUAACCUCUCCAAACCUCUAUUUCCUAAUCUCUACCACAGAGAUAACAGUACCUACUUCACAGGGCUGUUAUGAGGCUCAAAUGCAAGAAUAUAUGUAAGCAACUAGCUCAAUGCCUGGCAUACAAUUGUAACUGCUAUUACUAUUGUUAUAUGAGCUAUUGAUAUUUUUAUCUGAUCCCAGAUAAUACUCAAUAAUCAAAGUUAAUCUCCAUCUGCUUUUCUGAACCAGGAAUUACUGCUUUAUCCUGGGAUUACUAUAAGGUCAAGAUGGCAAGUGAGUUUCAGCUCAUAUUCCGAGUCACAUGGAUUUCAAGUGAAUGCUUGGGGGCUGGUUGAGAUGCACUGUGCUGUGAUUGAUUGUGACAUGUGCCAAGGGUGUGGAGCCAGGCUUGUUGGUUGGUUCUAAUAUUAGAAUUGGUAAGCCUCUUGUAGUAGUAUCACAGAGACUAACAGCUAUUUUAAUAUUAUAUAAUAAAGCAUAGAGAAAUCAAAAGAAUGGGCUAAGAGUCAGAUGGUCUAAGUUCUAAUUUUAGCUCUGCAACUAACUGGUGAGAAGAUCAGAAUAUGCCACCCCAAAUUAUGACACUUUGGCAUGAAGAUUAUUUUGAGCUGAAAGCAACUGAGAAACAGCAGAAAAAGCUCUCUACCCUACCCCUAUCUGCCUAUAGGCAGGGCAUACAUUUCCCCUUGUAAAGGUGCCCUCUGCCCCAACCCCAUACCAGGAAGAGGAGACAACCCUUAUCACUACAGAUGGGCACUGACUUAAAUCUGCUAAAACAAACCUUAUUGAAGUAACCCUUGUCUUCCAUUAGUUCCCACAUAUAUUUACCUUCCCACAAUAUAUGGCCCCUAGAAGCCUCAAACCAUUUUCCUUUAUCUUGUCACUUCUCCAUAAGUUUAUUGCCCUUUGUUAAAAUGGUAUAUAAGCCUCCAGAUCUGAUGACCUUCUUGGGGGUAUUCACUUAAUUUCUGUGAGGCCCCCUCACAUACAUAUAAAAUAAUCCUUUUUCUCCCGUUAACCUGUCUUUUGUAAGUUUAUUUUGUGGGGCCCCAGACACUGAAUAUAAGCGGGUAGAGGAAGAAGUUGGGUUUUUUCCUCUCUAACACUGAGUAAGUGAUUUUAAUCCAGUCACUUCUCUUUCUCUGUGAAGUUAUUUCCCAUUGAAGUACUGUGAUUUGCUGAUAAUUGAUUUUUUAAAAUGUAAGUAAAGUGAAACACAUAUAGCUAUGACAGGGCCUGGGGUACAGGAUGGGUAUUUGUUAUGAUUAUUUGAAAGAAAAAUAAAAGCACAAGGCUAUUAUAUGGAAGUGUAACAGUUAAAUAUUUUCUGUCCUCAUUCAAAAAGAUUGACUCUUCCUAUCAAUGAGGAAUAUAUUCACAAUGAGAUAAAAUUGCAAUAUUUUUGGCACUAAAAAAAAAUCAGCAAAUGCUUAGUAAUUCUCCAAGAAAGACAAGACUGUUGUGAAUAUGGGGGCUCUUUAAUAACCAAGGCACCAUUUAAAAAUAGCUAGAAUUAAUUACAGGGCUAAUGACCCAUUGAAAGGCUUAUUUAAAUACCAAAGCCAGCACUGAACAAUCAUGGAAAAUAUGACUUAAAAGGGCUUUAGAGAGCAGAAACCAGGAACCGCAGUUCAAACAAAAAACACAUUAUCCUAGAACUCUAGCUACUUUGGUGAGAAACAUUCAGGAUGCGAAAAAUCUCAGGGGAGUUCUCAGGCUGGGUAAGAGAAGCCACUAGGAUCAACAGAAAGACAAGAAGAUGACACAUACGGUCACCUGUUUGGAAAAGAAGGACUGCCAUUUAGCAUUCACCCAAAGAGAAGAGAGAAGAGCCCUUCAAAAACCAUUCUCCCCCAAUCAUCAAGGCUUUCUUUCCCCCACGCUCACCCCCUGGUUUUCUGAUGUACCCACCCAUUUUUAAUGUACCAUAGGAUAAAAUUAAAAUUUCCACAGAGAGGAAAAAAUAUAUUGUAAUAAGUCUCUGUGGCCACUUUAGAGCUGCAUUAUCUCCAAGAGCUUCCUGUGUCUUGGUCCUCUGUGCCCUGCAUCCAUGCCAUCAUAAGCCAAAGAAGAGGUGAUAAUCUUCAGCGUGCCCUACUUGCCAGGCAAAAAUGAUGCCACUGCAGUUCUUAGCUUCUCUCUGUACCAAAAUGGCCUUUCUGUAUGUCAGUAUCCUGGGAGCACACCAGGUGGCCAGAGCUGAAACAGUUUCAUUACUUCAUUCAUGCCCAUUGAUUAAAUGCAUUACUCUUACCCUUAUUUACUGUGGCCUAGACAUGCCUUGUAGUUGCCUUGCUAAGUUAAAAGUGUCAUAAAAUCAAAAGGUUCCAAAGCCCUUGAGAGCUCAAGGUGGGGAGGUAGGAGAGGGAGUGGGGCACUCUCGACAUAUAUUGGUUUCAAGGAGCAAAUAUAAAUUUUAGUAUAAAUUGCUGUUCACAAUAACGCUUUUAAACCAGCAAUUGUUUACACUGUACUACUCGAGGAACCCUAUAAUUAUUCUGAAAGCACUUGCCAACGUCUACCCUGUUUCAUAAUUGCCAACACAGCCUUGUUCAAAAGAAUUAGUGGCAAUGUUAAAAUUCUGUUUGGUACUAGGUUACUGUUUGAAACAAUUAGUGAUUGCACGAUGCUGGGAUAUGCAAGCAGAAUGGGGCCAAUAAAGUACCCUAAGAAUGAAGUGGUCUUGUGUUCAUAUUCACAGGUGGGAAGAAAAGGAAGGUGGUGGCUGAAACGGAAAAAAAACUGCUUGAAUUUUUUUUUCCUUUUUUCUUACUACUUUCCCAAGAAAUACUGUCAUCUGUUGAGCAAAAUGACUUUAAGAAAAUGUUUUUUCAAAUGCUGGAAAUGGUAGUGAUUUGAAGGAAAAAAGAUAACCCACUUCUCCCUCUUCCCCACUCCUUCUUGCCUGGAAAAUAUGUUUCUAUUUCCGGCCUUUACUCCUGAUAUUUGUAAGUGAAUCUGGGUAGUGAUUGUGGAACCUCGGCUUACACAUCUCAAAACACCCAUCUGUGCAGGUCACUGGACUUUGCUGACCUAUUUUCUGCUGUUUCUUUCUGUUACACAAAUCUCCCCCACUUGAAAGAGCAAUAGUCCCUCUACUUUCCAAUGAAGCACAGACAGCAGAGAGAUUUCUCACUCUCUGUAAAUGCAAAAGCUUUUGGAAUGUCUGGCAUUUCAG